UACAGAGGUCUCAAGCGUUGCCCGGAUUUAUUGGGCGUAAAGGGCGCGUAGGCGGUCACGCACGUCCGUUGUGAAAUCGCUCGGCUCAACUGGGCGGGGUCAGCGGAUACGGCGUGGCUGGAGCAAGCUAGGGGGCAAUGGAAUUCCCGGUGUAGUGGUGGAAUGCGUAGAUAUCGGGAGGAACACCAGUGGCGAAGGCGGUUGCCUGGAGCUUUGCUGACGCUGAUGCGCGAAAGCGUGGGGAGCGAUCCGG
rnacentral:rRNA from 1 species